rnacentral:lncRNA from 1 species
CCUCCUCAAGGUUCCAGUCUCAGGAGCUUAUCAACAAAAAAAAAUAAAAAUCUUGCACCCGCCACUUUCAUAAACCCUGAAGGUACAUUGGUUGAAGCUUUUUUAUUAUAAGCUUCCCUGUACAAGUAAAUUUGCUAUUUUUGACAUUAUGUACGCACGGCUGAAUGCUGAUGAAUCAAAUGGUGGUGACUCGUGAGUGAUCCUGACAUUUUUUGGCUCAUCUUCAUGAGGUUCGUUUUAUACAAUUUUAGCCCUUCAGUUUCAAGUGACAAAGAUGUAGGAUUAAAUGUACUUAAGAUUGUUGUAAUUGAAGCUCUCAAGCAUUAGUUUAGUUUUGAGUUAUUUCUGAAUAUAUUUUCUAGAGAGUUGUUUUAUCUGUUGAUUCAAUUCUGAUGAGGAUAUCUUUUAUUGUAUAGUCACAGGCUGCUGUUGUGUGUGUUGCUUAUCUUCUAUGAUCGAAUUUGAUUGUCAAUUAAUUUUCUAUACAAUUAAUAGAUAAAAUUGGUGUUUAUAUCUCUUUAAAGAUUUCUUUCUUCCCUAAAUAUUUCUUGUGGAAUAUCAGUAAUAGUGCUUUGUGGAAUUUGCAAGAAACUAAUGAAGCACCUCAAAUGAUGCUAAAUUAUAUAUAUAUGACACUGAUAUUCUGCUUCCAAUUAUCUAUAUCCAAGUUCCAUUUGUUCCCUUUGAUUUUCCUUUCAGUAUCUCCACCAUUUGCUCUUUGUUUGUUAUAAGGUUCUUCUGUGUUAUUUUUGGUUUUCUUCUAUUUACGUUUUACAUAAUGUGAGUUUUGAGCAAAAAGCUAUAUCAUAAUGACUUGUGUUUAUUUAAUUAUUUGUUGUGGUCAUACUGAAAGUCAAUCACUUCAUCUGUCUCUUUUUGUGAUCUGAAGGCCUGAAAAUCACACUAAAGACCGAUGACAUUAAAAGAGAAUUCAUGAAAUUAAAAAUUUAACAUUAAAGGAUAAAAAUUUAGAUGUGCUGUCAUUUAAUUUUGUUUUUAGAAUCUGUUGUAUAAUUCCCUUUCUUAAAUUACCUGAAUUGUUCUGCAAGUGAAGAUUAUUUUUUUUGGUAACAACUGUAAAAUAUUACCAUAACCACCCAAGAACGGAUACAAAUAAAGAGCACCUAAUUCUGAUAAUAGAGAACAGGCCUCCUACCAAACAUAAAACCAAUUACAUAACAAAUGUUGAAUAAAGUGUCUACAAUUUUUUUGCUUUCUUUGAACUACUAAGUGUAAUCUUUCAAUAAUUUCCUUAUUUAUCUGUGUUACUGCCUCCUUCGUAUGUACACGUUUGUCUGUAAACCUCCUCCAAUUCCUGGCACGCCAAGUGUGGUAUAUGAUAUCUCCACAGAUAGCUGCCAUGAUCUCCUUUUUAAUUGCUUCCGGUGAUUACCUUUUAUGUUUUCCAGGACCUUCAUGAUACUAAUAAUCUGCACUGGUAUUUCAGUCCAAUGGUGCAUAACUUGCCACACAGCUAAUGUCCAUUUGCAUUUCUCGAAUAGGUGAACAUUAGUCUCCAUUACUUUCUCAUCACAUAAACAACAUUCAGUGUCAUCAACCUGAAUAUUCAAUCUCAGCUUUCUCUCCUGUGUAAGAUUUCUAUUUCACUAGAGUAUUAUAUUAUUAAAAGAAUUAAUUAUUGAACAUAAAUUUGCUUCAUAGUCAAAGCACACCAGUAAAAAAGAGUUGGUAUCAAUGAAAACAAAAUUAUGACAUGAGAGAUUAGUACACUUGACUUGAACACAAGUUUCAAAAUAAACCAUGAAGAGAAAACAAAUAAAUAAUUAGCCAUCUUUAUAAUUCUAUACACAAAAUGGAGAUGAAAGUGUAGGUCAGAAAGACCACAGAUUACAGAACUAUGAUCACCAGUCAUCUUUCCUUCUCCGUUGGAUGGCAUUUUAGUUCACUUUUCUCCAUUCUUUUUACACACCUUAUCUCAGAAUCUCCCAUCAAAUUUAACUCUGUGUGUGUGGCGUACCUAGAAUCUAACAACAUCUUUUGACUAAAUACCAUCCUAAAUUACCCCUACAUUUAUACAGUGUGCUAUUGGAAGUUACUCACUUUAGGAAACAUGAAGUUCUUAUCUUUAAUCUAUCACUUACUUGGUUGUUUAAGUUAUUUUUAUUUUAUUGCACGGAGAGUUACUUACAUUUUGAAAAAUGUUGUUCUAAGCUUUUAACAAUUAUUUAUUUGGCGUUCACACUUUGUGAGUGCUCUCUUCAAAACGUGGAAAAAAUAUAUCCUAAAUAGCUUCUACGACAAUCGCAGUAAUGCAUCAAACAAUGACACUGUAGUUUAUCUGAAUUACUCACCUAAUCAAUUAAGAUCUUGACACACUUUCUACAGAUCUUUUAAGAUCCUAGAUGAAACAUAAGUAUCUUUAAAGUUAUAGCUCGCUAAUUACUAUUUUUUGCACUCAGUUUUAGAAUUCUUUAGUUGACGAUUGGUGUUUACUUGAUUUUUGAAGGUAUUUCAAAACAUCUCCCUGUUAUGUGUUUCCGGGAUAGCAAAGGUUGGCUACUAAGCUAGGUAUUGUAUCUCCAACACAAUUGAAAUGAUAGAUCAAGUUAGCUCUGCAAUAUUUACUAAAACUGUAAGUUCUUGAAAUCUUUUGGAUAUCUUUCAUCUUAAAUAUCAGUAGAUUUUCUUAAAUAUUUGUUCAAGGUUCUUCAUUCCUCCAACUGGCCGUGGUUUAGUGUUUAUGUGAUUAUACUUGUUGUCAUUGUUACAGUUCCUUACAUAUAUGCUCCGCAUUAUUUUGUUAAAAGUGUAGAUAGGUAAUAUAAUUAUUCUACAUCACUAUAGUGUAAGAGUAAGUAUGCUAACCAAAAGGGCACUGUGUGUAAUUGCAUCAGGGGCGUAAUAAUAAAAAUUUCUAUUAAUUCUAUUGUAUAGAAACAUGAAGAGCUAGGACGACCAAUGGCAUAACCAUAAAUAUACUCAAUAUUGAAGGGUAAUAUGGUCAUUAUACAACACUAAUUUUUUAGCAAUUAACAUGCGCCUCUUCUAUUUUCCUUCUAGAACAUUCUCUCUCUUCCUUCCAUGUUGCAAUUAAGAGAUGACUCAAGAAAAAGAAUUGGUAAAUUGAUCGGAUCUUUCCUAAACCUCCUCUCUCUAGACCUAAUAUGUGAUCUAUCUAUUUCAUAGACUUCUCUUGUGAUGCUACUAAAGCAGGAAUGGGUGGUGUAAAUGGUUUAAUUAUCGGUAUAUAUAAUCGGUUUAUACACAUAGGUAGCUUUAUGAACUUUAAAAAGGAUAUCUAGAAGGAUUGUAACAUGUCAUAUUCUACAAUUCUGAAGAGUAAGCAUGAUGAAUCUUUCUGAUUGAUAAAAAUGGCCUCGAGAGGGAUUGUAACAUGUCAUAUUUUUACAAUUGUGAAGAAUAAGCAUAUGUUGGAAUAUGAAUUUCAUAAAUUGUUGUUUCUUUCUGAUGAAUGUAGUAUAAUUGGUGCAGGUGAUUGACGGUUUAGUUCCAUUAACAGAGAUGUUCAAUUGCGUUAGUAAAACUUGAAAGGGAAUGACAAAGGAGCAUGCAUCGUACAUUAUGCAAUUAGGCAAGUUUGAUGUUGUCCCUCAACACAUUCAAAUCAGCUUGCCAAAAAGGAAGAAGCAGCAGUUGUUUAGUCAGUCAGCUUUCAAAUUUGGAUCCACGAACUUAAAAAUAGGUAUUUUUACUCAAUGAAGGGACUGCUCUUUGACAUCAUCUUGUCUUUUGGUGUUGCAAUUUCAGUUUGAUCUUUUAUCUUAAUUUUAGCCAUUAUUUUAAGAUUCUCUUUACAUUUUCCAACAUGGUUGAAGCGGUUAUAUUUUGACUAGCUUUCACUGCCAUAAAUUUCAUAGAGGCAAGUCAACAUGCCGGUUUUAUACUGAUUUGUUGUGAAUUUCAACCUCUUACUUGUUCUCCUAUGCUUGGUGGUUAAUUUCUUUAAAUUUUUUUACUCAACGGUUAGUCUCCCGUGGUUUCCACUCCAAGUCCACCAAUCCAACGUAAACUUGCCAACAUCGUAUUUCAUGAAACUUGUGUGCACUUACCAAACUACCCUGCCCCUUCGCCCUCAACCAUUAGCUCCCACGCCUAAUAACAAGGACAUCAUAGUAAAAUCACUUUGUUACCGUAAUCGAACAGACCCCAUAGAAUAUAGUUGGACUGGUUAUUUUUUUCUUUAACUUCUUUAAUAAUAAUUAAGAAUCUACGUUAACACUUGACUAAUAGUAUAUGAGUUCCCUCUGUUCUUUUUUCCAUCAUAAAGUUUAAUUUUUCUUUGUUGUUUCUAAAUUAAAACUUGUAUUCUUUUAAUUCCAAUCUUUUAACCUUUUAGGUGAACCAAGAAAAGAAAAAAUGUUGGAUGCAUAAAAGAAUAACAAGUUUUAUUCCCAAUGGUAAGAGUGACAAUUUGUUAGGGUUGGUUUUUUUUUUCCAUAAAUAUUUUUCAGAAUGUAGAAAAUUAUUUUUCUUGUUAAUUUUGCUUAUGUUGUGGGAAUUUUCUGAUAUAACAAGAGUCUACAAUCAGGCAGACGAAAACUCAAAUCGAAAUGAUCAGGAAGUAGAGAUAUGCAAUGUAGAAAUAUUUGAAGAAUGAUAUAACUGGCGUCUUAAAAUAUGGAUUGGAUGUCAACCCCUGCCACAGGGUAAUUUUCUUUUGUUGGAAUUGAUCCAUCUAUAUAUUCUGUUAUUCUAUCACUUAGUUUUAUUUUAUAUGGCCUCUUUCUUUAUACUGAUUUGUUGUGAGUUUUAGUUUUAUUUUAUAUGGCCUGUUUCUUUAUACUGAUUUGUUUGAGUUUCAACCUCUUACGUGUUCUCCUAUUCUUUGGUGGUUAAUUCCAUUAGUUUUUUUGUAUGUGCAUGUUAGUUCGUGCACAUAUCUUUUCUUCUACUUGAUUUUCCUAAAACCAAAUACACGCUAUCACUAAGAAUAAUGGUCUAUUGAGUUCUCUUCCUCUCAAUGCAACUGCAUUGCUUUGGCUAAUUUAUAUGAGCUUAAGGAAAAAGAAAAUGUAGAGUGAAUUUUUUAAAAAGAAAAUGUAGAGUGAUUUUUUUUUCUUUCUUUCUUUUCGGUGAUUACUAAGAAAGGCUAAUGAUCUAAAUUUAUGCAUUCUCUAAGUUGGUCUUUUUCAUAAGCACCAUGCCAAGUCAAAAAGGGCCACAUAAAAUAGGAUAGAUGGAGUAUAAUUUUUUUUUAAAUGUACUUCCUAUCAUAAAUAGUUAUUUUUGUAAUGAAAAAAUUAACAUAAAAUGUAUUCUUGAUAAAAAUAUUAGCCCCCCCCCCCUCCCCCUAAAAUUGAGGGCCCAAGGCAUGUGCUUACUUUUUAUAGCAUAGAGUUUACCAUGUGUUGCAAUUCUCAAGCCUUAAUUAGCUCUUGAAGAAGGUUAGCAACCACAUAUAUCUUCCUUCUCAGAAAUAUUUAUGCACAAAUAUACUUAUAUACGUGCAAGAUGUUUUAACAGUAAAUAUUGAAAUAUAGCGCAAGACUCUUCUCAUAUGAGCCAGACAUGUUUCAAUAUUCUAUGUGCUAAGAGGAUUCUUCCAUGAUUGUGAUUUUGAAUUUUGCAAUGUGAAUGACAGGAAUACUUUCUUGAAUCUAUUUCCUUAGGGCAUUGAGUGAAGGUUGUUCCUUUCAAAUUCACAUAUAACUUGGUAUAUGUUAAUUCUUUGUGGUUAUCUUCAGUAUUUUAUUUUAAAUUGACAUAUAACUUGUAAUAUGCUGGUUCUUUGUGAUUGUCUUCACUAUUUUAUUUUUACUUUUGCUUUAAGUGCUACUAUUUUUAUGAACAGUUGUUAUUUCGGAACUUUUAUUCCUUUCCUUGAGAUAUUAAAGCUGGAGUAUAUAGUUCGUGCUGAGUGAAGGAAAUUUUGCAUCUUAUCAAGACAAUUGCAAACACUCGAGGCAUCAAUGGAUUUAUGAAACGGAAUUUUAUUACUCUACAUGCAGCUCCAUUUAAGGAUACCAACUUCUAUUCUUUUGAAAAAUACAGAGAGCAUCUACUCAAAUUUACUACUAAUGAUUCAAGGCAUCACUAGAUUUUGUAAAAUGAAUUUUGUCAUAUUCUAUGAUUAGCUCUAUGUAAGUCUAUCCACUUCUAUUUUCUUAUGAUAAAUAUUGAAAAGUAUUUAGAAGAUAGUUGUCUGCAAUGUAAA